rnacentral:tRNA from 1 species
CAAUUAUAAAGCCAAAGGCUUUUUAGUUUCGGCCUAAAAAAUAAAGUAAAUCUUUUAUAAUUUA